CGGAUGAACUUCCGCAAUGCCUUCUGAAUUUCACUAUCAGCCGACCUUCUGCUAGAUUCCUCAUGCAAUCGGACCUCUCUGGUGGAUAGCCCUCAGACAAGCUUCUACAUCAGGCAAAUUCCAAACGGACUUCUCUGGCAAUCAAAUUUCUACCGAACUUCACCAACAGAUAGUCCCCAUCCGAGCUUUUACAGCAGAUGACUUCCGCCUGCAAUAUCAACGCUCUGGCACCUGACAAUAGUGGACUCAUCAGCAACCUCAAAAAUAUCUGAGCCUCUCUUAGAUUGCAAAGACA
rnacentral:lncRNA from 1 species